rnacentral:rRNA from 1 species
CCAGCUCCAAGAGUGUAUAUUAAAGUUGUUGUGGUUAAAAAGCUCGUAGUUGAACCUUGGGCCUGGCUGGCCGGUCCGCCUCACCGCGUGCACUGGUCCGGCCGGGCCUUUCCCUCUGUGGAACCCCAUGCCCUUCACUGGGUGUGGCGGGGAAACAGGACUUUUACUUUGAAAAAAUUAGAGUGCUCCAGGCAGGCCUAUGCUCGAAUACAUUAGCAUGGAAUAAUGAAAUAGGACGUGCGGUUCUAUUUUGUUGGUUUCUAGGACCGCCGUAAUGAUUAAUAGGGACAGUCGGGGGCAUCAGUAUUCAAUUGUCAGAGGUGAAAUUCUUGGAUUUAUGGAAGACGAACUACUGCGAAAGCAUUUACCAAGGAUGUUUUCAUUAAUCAAGAACGAAAGUUAGGGGAUCGAAGAUGAUUAGAUACCAUCGUAGUCUUAACCAUAAACUAUGCCGACUAGGGAUUGGUGGUUGUCCUUUUGGAUUCCAUCAGCACCUUAUGAGAAAUCAAAGUCUUUGGGUUCCGGGGGGAGUAUGGUCGCAAGGCAGAAACUUGAAGGAAUUGACGGAAGGGCACCACCAGGAGUGGAGCCUGCGGCUUAAUUCGACUCAAC